rnacentral:rRNA from 1 species
CCUACGGGUGGCAGCAGUGAGGAAUAUUGGUCAAUGGGCGCGAGCCUGAACCAGCCAAGUAGCGUGAAGGAUGACUGCCCUACGGGUUGUAAACUUCUUUUAUAAAGGAAUAAAGUGAGGCAAGUGUGCCUUUUUGCAUGUACUUUAUGAAUAAGGAUCGGCUAACUCCGUGCCAUCAGCCGCGGUAAUACGGAGGAUCCGAGCGUUAUCCGGAUUUAUUGGGUGUAACGGGAGCGUAGAUGGGUUGUUAAGUCAGUUGUGAAAGUUGGCGGCUCAACCGUAGAAUUGCAUUUGAUACUGGCAGUCUUGAGUACAGUUGAGGUAGGCGGAAUUCGUGGUGUAGCGGUGAAAUGCUUAGAUAUCACGAAGAACCCCGAUGGCGAAGGCAGCUUACUAAACUGUGACUGACAUUGAUGCUCGAAAGUGUGGGUAUCAAACAGGAUUAGAUACCCCUGUAGUC